UUCAUCCUUAGUCACCUUGCUUUUAGAGGUUAUGUUACUUAAGUUAGAUGUGUCUAUUUCAGCUAUCAUCAACUAUUGGCAUCAGCUAUUUGAAUCAGCCUUGUACAGUUAGACUCAGCUAUUUGAAUCAGCCUUGUACAGUUAGACUCAGCUAUUUGAAUCAGCCUUGAACAGUUAGACUCAGCUAUUUGAAUCAGCCUUGAACAGUUAGACUCAGCUAUUUGAAUCAGCCUUGAACAGUUAGACUCAGCUAUUGGCUGUCACGAUGAGCUAUUUGCAACUAGCAUAAGCUAUUUCUUUGUUAUCCUCGGCUCCCUUGAUGUGAUCACAUUGAACAGUAAAAUGUUGCUAUGUUGAAGUAACCAACAGCUAACUUUACGCAUCACAAUUAUUUGGGUUUCAUUUCUUCUGUUCAUUUUUUUGUCCCGAAACGAUGUACAGUUGAUUACUCUGGAGAUGUCUGGGUUUCUUGUGCGGGUGUAUUGAAAUGAGACUAACUAACAAGAACAUAGACUCACACAAAUAACAAGUGAAGAAACUAAGUCCAAACAGAGGAAAACGGUGACUGUGGGCGUUUUACCAUCAUGAGCCUCUCUAGAAAUGUAGGCUGCUUUGUUUCGUUCAAAUAAUGAAAUUCAAUUACCUAUCAGUUCAACAGAGAAGAUUGUUGAACAAAAAAAAGGGGGUGGGGGCAAGAUAGGUAUGAGUCCUGUGGUACGUUAGUUGUAGUAGUAUAAGCAAUUCUAGCGGAAAGCUCACAGAGACAUUUCAAGAGAAAUCUCAUGACAUGAUGUGCACGGACCCAAGGGAUGGAAUUGACUCUUCAUUGAUCUCAGACACAGACAACUUGUUACACUACAUUUUAGAACACUAAGACUUGUCCAAUAA